rnacentral:snoRNA from 1 species
AUCCCAUGAUUUGGACACUUUCUCAUAAGCUCCUUAAAUUUGUUCUAUGCCUCAUGAUAGCUUUCCUCAUCCAUUUGUUCGAAGGUUUGAAUUUUCAAUUUGAUUUU